GUCUCAAACUUUUGGUCUGCAAACGGCAUGCAGUUUUAAGCGCCCGCGAAGACAUUUCAGUUAUGUAUAUGUUGGAAAUAUGAUGUUGGAAAGAUUUCAAAAUUUUAGUUACAGAGCAUUUAUUAGACCAAAACCAAUCGGACCUCCUGUCUGUACUAUGUGGUGACUGUACAACUUUGUGCUCGUCCCGACGACGUAUCUUUCAAGCGUCUGCUUUGUCAACUGCCGAUGAUAGGCUAUCCGCCUAUGAUGAUGGUAACGGUUAAAUCAAGAUUCGAUUCCGGAGACGGAGGAGAAACAGCUUUCACAUCCAAGGAAGGCAGCAAGCGCGCAAAUAAGCCACUCCCAGAAUGGGGAGGUGACGAUGAAAAAUAACAAUACGGCCAUUCUUUAGAAUCCCCAUAACAUGAAUAAGUAUACUCUAAAUCCUUAACGAGGAUCAGUUGGAGGGUAAGUGUGGUGCCAGCGCUCGCUGGAACCCCAGCUCCUAU
rnacentral:ncRNA from 1 species